ACUAACAGUCUGUUUGGAUGCUUGAUUUGGAGCCCGGAUUUGUACGCACCCGGAUUUAGAGCCAUGGCCCCACGUAAAUCAGGUGUUUGGGAAGAAAAAAACGCAGGUGGAUUUGUGGGUGGAUUUGGCUCUCCUGGAUUGUAAAUCCACCUGCGGCCCGGAUUACCAACGAUAGGGGGUACCCCCGUCGUUGGCAAAUCCACCCUGAGACGGAUAUGUGAAUGACGAGCCUGCCCUUGCUCCGUCUGAGGAGGAAGAGGAGGAGGAGGAGGAGGAGGUCGCCGUCACCUGUGAUCGGCCACUGUCAUUCCCGCCGCCGUACGAUCGAGAACCAGAGAUGAGAGAACCGCUGUGGGAUCGGUGGUAGUAUGAGAGAGACACAGAGAGAUUGGGGAUUUGAAUUUGUGGCUAUGGGUAGAGAGAGAGAGA